UACGUAGGUGGCAAGCGUUGUCCGGAUUUACUGGGCGUAAAGAGCUCGUAGGCGGUUUGUCGCGUCUGCCGUGAAAGUCCGGGGCUCAACUCCGGAUCUGCGGUGGGUACGGGCAGACUAGAGUGAUGUAGGGGAGACUGGAAUUCCUGGUGUAGCGGUGAAAUGCGCAGAUAUCAGGAGGAACACCGAUGGCGAAGGCAGAUCUCUGGGCCGUAACUGACGCUGAGGAGCGAAAGCAUGGGGAGCGAACAGG
rnacentral:rRNA from 1 species